rnacentral:lncRNA from 1 species
AUCCCACCGAGGCCACCAUAGACCAGCCAGCCCUCAGCGUACAUGCCAGCUAAUUACAGAUGCAGGAGCAAACCCCUGGCCCAUACAUCAAUUUUAAUGUCAUUGAAUACAGAGAACAAAUCUCAUUCACUUUGGUAUCGGCUGGAGUCAACAAACAUUUAAAAAUCAUUUACUGCGUCUGAUUUUGGGUAUGUUGAAUUGGUGACGUCUGAGUUGCUUCUGGUCUAUCCUGAUAGAAACAUACAGUAAACAGAGAAAAAAAAGGAUCUCAGGUGAGAUGAUGUAUGGGAAUGCUCAGCAUACAGAAUGAAUGGAUAAGAGGCCUGAAAACAUAAUCCUGUAAACAACCAUAUUGAAAGAGAAGACAGAAGACAUCAAACAGAUGGAGUUUCGCUCUUGUUGCCCAGGCUGGAGUGCAACGGCACGAUCUCAGCUCACCGCAACCUCAGCCUCCCAAGUUCAAGCAAUUCUCCUGCCUCAGCGUCCUGAGUAGCUGGAAUUACAGGAUUUUGGAAGCAUUGCCUUCUACAGAAUCCACAGUAGUCCGAAGCUCUUCUACGGUUUUUGUCAAACUUUGAUUUUCCAUCUCUAGCUUCAAUAAUCUACUUGAUGUCAACUCAUUCACCUCAUGGCCCAGGGAUUUCUGGGGUGCUAUAAUAUUGAAAAAUACACCAUUGUAUUUACUCUUUACUGUUUUUACUAUGUUUACUCUUUACUAUUUAAAAAGUUGAGUGUAUAUGCAUUG